rnacentral:lncRNA from 1 species
UUUUUUCCAUUGAAAAUUGACAUGUUUUUCUUUGUACUGUUAUGGAUUAUGUUCUGCAAACUUACUACUAUAUCCUAUGCUUUAUAAAUGAAAUCUGAUGCAAGGCAACAUGAAGUCUUAGAUUCCUAAACAGAGCACCAUCUGCAAAGUAGACAGUCACUAAAAGUGAGUUGACAGCAAUGAGGUUGAUGUACAAAUCUGGACAAAUAUCAAAUAUCUCCCUUUCCUCAAAAUGCUUCCUACCCAUUGUUUUUACACUUAAUCAGUCCUUGCACAGAGGCUGGUAUUAGUGCCUCCUAUGAAGUAAAUUUCCCAUUUUUCUUUUUUAUUGAACAUUCACAGUCUUUACAAUAAGCACUUACAAAUUUUAAUCUUCUAAGAUGCUAAAAUAUACAUAUAUAUGUAUACACACUUUUUUAAAAAAUUUAGGACUGCACCCAUCAUUUAUGGAAAUUCCCAGGCUAGGGGUCAAAUCAGAUGGAGCUGCAGCUACCAGCCUACCCCACAGCCACAGCAACAUCAUAUCUGACCCACGUCUGCGAUAUACACCACAGCUCACGGCAACACCGGAUCCUUAACCCACUGAGCGGGGCCACGGAUUGAACCAGCAAUGUCAUGGAUACAGUCAGGUUUGUUACUGCUGAGCCACAAUGGGAGCUAGAGUAUAUAUACAUUUUUUUUAAGGCUGCACCUACAGUAGCUGGAAAUUCCCGGGCAAGGGACUGAAUCCAGGCUGUAGCUGCAAUCUAUGCCACAGCUGUGGAAAUACCAGAUCCUUUAACCCACUACACCAGGCCAGGAAUUGAACCUGUGCCUCUGUAGCAACCCAAGCCACAAGUCAGAUUCCUAACGCACUGUGCCAUAGCAGGAACUCCAUAAGAUGCCAAAAAUAUAAAGACCAAAUUAUAUCUGUAUAAAUAGCUAGUAUUUAGUUGAAAUGCAUCUUUACUUUUCUCUUCAUAUAAUAAUUCAUCAAUUAGAAGGAGUUAGCUCCCCAGAAUGUGAAAGAAAAGAAUUAAAUGUAGUAUUUCCAUUAUAUACUGCCAGGCAUCAUUCUUCUAAUGGAAGAAAAAUGAGUGAGAACUUUGAAGAACUAUUUCUGAAUUUCAAUGGGAUAUGAAUUUCGAAAAUAAGAUGUUUUCACUCGGAGGUCCCUACUGCCAGUUGUUAUUCAUUUAGUUAGAUAUUACUGAGAAGUCUUCAAAGGUUAUUCCUUCCAUCAUUUAUCCUUUGGUGGAAUAGCCACCAAUGAUUUGAGGGCCUGUCACUGUGGCGGUUUUGUCCAACUAUGUUGCAUGUGAUAGUCUGAUAUCCAAUGAGUAGAGUGGGAGACUGAGAAAUGAGAAAUGGACACAUUAACCCUAGGCUAUGCAAACUACCUGAGGCAAAUUUUGUUCCUGGGCACUGGUUUUCCAACUGCAAAAGAGGAAUAUCAUUUGCUUUUGCUUUACCUACUCACAAAAUAUAUUGUGACAAGUAAGGACGAUAACAAAUGGAAAUCCCAUUGGAAGCCAGGAUUAGAAUGUGUUUCAGUGUGUGAUUUCUUCUCCCUGCCUUCUGCAUUUGCCUUACCUCAAUAUCCCACAUGCAUCCCAGGGCUCCACCCAUGACCAGCCUAGCAGGGCUAUGUCAUAGCAUGUUGGACUCCAAUUUAGUAGGUCAGUUUCAGCCCAGAAUCUCACUGUUCAUGAAUCUGUCAAAAUAAUUAGGGCUGGGAAGUAUCAUAACUGGUAUCAACAGCAAACAUUUGUUAACAGCCUCUCUGACUAUGCACUGAAUAAUGCAUAUGUCUUCUGUUUCAAUCAUGGUUGUAUCACCAGUGCCUAGAACAGUGGCUGGCACAUUGUAGGCACUUGAUAAAUAGUGAACCAAGAGAACUAAGGAAAUAAAAAACAGAUAAGGCAUAGCCAUUGCCUCCAAGAUUUGUAAUCUAGUCAAGUCGACUAGGCCUAAAGAGAAAAGGCAAGAAGCAAUGGAAGAGUUCAGUUAGUCUACCCAAGGGCCCAAGAGCAUCAUGGCAGGAAUUACUGCAGAAGCUGAAGGCUUAUUUCCUACCUGGGAGAACUGUAGUCAAAUGACAAAUCUCCCAGGCUUCACAAAGGGUAACACAACCUGGAAGACCUUUUAUUGAGUUUAAGUGCGGUACUUUAUCAGCAGGGGAAGAUUCUAGAUAUUUUCCUUUUGUCAAUGAGUUCAUCGUUGGAUGGCAUAGUAAGUAGAAUGAAUACUGUAAUAACAGGAAUGGAGGUUUCAGUGCAGUAUUGUCAAAGAAAAUGUUGGGAAGGGGUGUGAGGUUUUUUGUUGUUAUUUGUUAUGGUCUAUUCAUUUUAUUUAUUUAUUUUUUCUCCAGCAAAUAUAACUCAAUAAUACUAAAGUUCUCUAAAAAAAAUGGCACAUCUCCUUUUUAAAAUUUUAUUUAUAUUUUAUUAGAGUACAGUUGAUUUACAAUGUUAUAUUAGCUUUAGGUUUAUAGCAAAAUAAAUGUGUUAUACAUAUACAUAUAUCUAUUCAUUUUUCCUGUAUAGAUUAUUACAAAACAUGGAGUAGACCUCCUUGUGCUGUAUAGUAGGUCCCUCUACAGCAGGGACCUAUAACCUAUAUCAAACAGUGUGGACUAUAUAUACACCCUAUACAUAGUAGUGUGCAUGUGCCAACCCCAUCCUCACAAUUUAUCUCCCUCCCCUCCAGUUUCCCCUUUGGUAACCCAAAGAUUGACCUUGAAAUUUUCAAAUGCUUCUGUCCUACAAAAAAUUCUUUUGUAUCAUUUUUAUGAGAGUCCACAUAUAAGUGAUAUCCUAUGAUAUUUAUCUUUCACUGCCUGGCUUACUUCACUUAAUAUUAUAAUCUCUAGUUGCAUCCAUGUUGCUGCAACUGGCAUUAUUUCAUCCUUUUAAAUGGCCAAGUAAUAUUCCAUUGUAUAUAUGUACCAUAUCUUCUUUAUCCAGUCCUCGGUCAAUAGAUAUUUAGGUUGUUUGCAUGUCUUGGCUAGUGUAAAUAGUGUUACAAUGAACAGUGGGGUGCAUGUAUCUUUUCAAAUUAUGCUUUUCUUCGGCUAUAUGCCCAGGAAUGGGCAUAUGGUAGAGCUAUUUAAUUUUUCAAGGAACCUCUAUAUAGUGGUUGUACACAUCUACAUUCCCACCAAUAGUGUAGGAGGGUUCCCUUUUCUCCACACCCUUUCCAGCAUUUAUUGUUUGUAGACUUUUUGAUGAUGGCCAAUCUGACUGGUGUGAGGUGAUAUUUCACUGCAGUUUCUAUUUGAAUUGCUCUAAUAAUCAGUCAUGUUGAGCAUCUUUUCAUGUGAUUUUUGGCCAUAUAUCUGUCUUCUUUGGAGAAAUGUCUCUUUAGGUCUUCUGUCCCUUUUUUAAUUAGGCUGUUUGUUUUUUUUUUAUAUAAAGCCACAUGAGAUGUUUGUAUUUUUUGGAGAUAGAGAAUCUGAAUAGACUAAUCACAAGUACUGAAAAUGAAAAUGUGAUUUAAAAACUUCCAACAAACAAAAGCCCAGGACCAGAUGGAUUCGUAGGUAUAUUCUAUCAAUCAUUUAGAGAAGAGUUAACAUCAAUUUUACUGAAACUCUUUCAAAAAAUUUCAGAGGAAGGAACACUCCCAAGCACAUUCUAU